CAGCAGCCGCGGGAAUACGAAGGGUGCAAGCGUUAAUCGGAAUUACUGGGCGUAAAGCGUGUGUAGGUGGUUGUUUAAGUCUGUCGUGAAAGCCCUGGGCUCAACCUGGGAAUUGCGAUGGAUACUGGGCGACUAGAGUGCGGUAGAGGAUAGUGGAAUUUCCGGUGUAGCAGUGAAAUGCGUAGAGAUCGGAAGGAACAUCUGUGGCGAAGGCGACUAUCUGGGCCAACACUGACACUGAGACACGAAAGCGUGGGGAGCAAACAGGAUUAGAUACCCGUGUAGUCCCUGUCUCUUAUAA
rnacentral:rRNA from 1 species